CAGCAGCCGCGGUAAUACAGAGGAUGCAAGCGUUAUCCGGAAUGAUUGGGCGUAAAGCGUCUGUAGGUGGCUUUUCAAGUCCGCCGUCAAAUCCCAGGGCUCAACCUUGGACAGGCGGUGGAAACUACCAAGCUGGAGUACGGUAGGGGCAGAGGGAAUUUCCAGUGGAGCGGUGAAAUGCGUUGAGAUCGAAAAGAACACCAACAGCGAAAGCACUCUGCUGGGACGACACUGACACUAAGAGACGAAAGCUAGGGGAGCAAAUGGGAUUAGAUACCCCUGUAGUCCCUGUCUCUUAUAC
rnacentral:rRNA from 1 species